rnacentral:tRNA from 1 species
GUGGCUAUAGUUCAGUUGGUUAGAACGUCGGAUUGUGGUUCCGAAGGUCGUGGGUUCGAAUCCCACUCGCCACCCCA